rnacentral:rRNA from 1 species
AUUGAACGCUGGCGGCAGGCCUAACACAUGCAAGUCGAGCGCGAAAGUUCUUCGGAAUGAGUAAAGCGGCGGACGGGUGAGUAAUACAUGGGAAUCUGCCUGGUAGUGGUGGACAACGUUUCGAAAGGAACGCUAAUACCGCAUACGCCCUACGGGGAAAGGGGGGAUCUUCGGACCUCUCGCUAUCAGAUGAGCCCAUG